GUUUAAUUUAAUUAAUAAUUUUAUUAAAAGUGGUGAACAGGUGAGNNUUAAUUAACAACCUACCUUAAGGCUGGGGUAAAUCCCCUAUAUAUAAAGGUAAUUUCCGUCUUAAGAAGAAUCGUUAAUUAAAAGAAAUAGGUAGUUGUUAAGGUAAUUACUUAACAAGCCAAGUAUUUUCUUAGUCGAAACUGAAAGGUUGAUCGAUCACAUUGGGAAUGAGAAAAGUCCAAGACAAGUGAGUACAGCAGUGGGGAAUAUUAGUCAAUGGCCAAACGGCUGAACUGGCAACUUGGAGGAAUGGCCUAUAUUAGAGUGAAAUUGGUUAAAUUUUUCUUGUAAAAAUAAAAUUCUGAUUAUAUGUAAUAUAAUGACUAUGUAUUUUUAUGUCUUGACUAAUUACGUGCCAGCAGUCGCGGUAAUACGUAAGAGACUAGUGUUAUUCAUCUUUAAUAGGUUUAAAGGGUACUUAAACGGAAGAAAUUAACUAAAUAAGGUAUUAUUUCUAUCUAGAGUUAUAGAAAAAAAGGUCGAACAUGUGGAGUAGGACUAAAAACUGCAAAUACUAUAUGGACUGGUAAGGCGAAGGCAACCUUUUAUAAAAUAACUGACGUUGAAGGACGAAGGCUAAGGUAACGAAAAGGAUUAGAUACCCUUGUAGUCUUAGCAGAAAAUUAUGAAUGCUACUUAUUAAUAUUAUUUAAUUCGUAAAUGAAAAUUUAAGCAUUUCACCUCACGAGUAAUGUGGCAACGCAGGAACUGAAAUCACUAGGCCGUUUUAGACACCAGUAGUGAAGUAUGUGUGCGACAAGGUAGAAAAAUUUUGCUUGAGCCGUAUGCGAUGAAAGUUGCACGUACGGUUCUUAAAGGGGGAAAGUUCGAGAGGACCUACCUAUUUUAACUAUUUAAUUCGAUGAUCCGCGAAAAACCUUACCACAAUUUGAAUUAUUUAUAUAUUCUGUUUUACACAAAUAUAAAUAACGAGUGUUGCACGGCUGUCUUCAGUUGAUGUUGCGAAACUAUGGCUUAAGCCAUGAAAUUGACCAAAACCUUUACUUUAUUUAUAAAUAUAUAUAUUUUAUAAAGUAUUUCAUCUUUACAAUAGAUGUUACGUUAGGGACCAAGAUAAGUCAUCAUGACCUUUAUGUUGUGGGCUGAUACGUGUAGUAGGAAUACACUAGAUUGGCUAACAAAAAUGAAAAUUUAAGCUAAUCUAAAAAAUAGGAUAAAAAAGGAUAUGGAUUAUAGUCUGAAAUUCGACUAUAUGAAUAAGUAAUUACUAGUAAUCGUGAAUCACCAUCGUCACGGUGAAUUUUGAAUCUGAUUGGUACUAACUACUCGUCGCAUGCUGAAAAGAGUACUUACAAAAAGUUUGCUUAUUUAUUGUAAAUAAGUAGAUAAUAGGUUUUAGAUAUUAUAAUAAA
rnacentral:rRNA from 1 species